CCACCUGGGCCAAUGGCCCACUCAUCCUGAUCCACGUGACGUUCUUGCCGAGGUGGCACACAUUGCCGAGGUGGGUUACAUCCGAACUGCUUCAAGCCGAGGUCCAUCAAUCGAGGCACCACGAUCCGACGUUCUCUGCCGAAGCCCAACUAUCGAGCCCAUUACCCAAGGCAUGGAACCUGUUGAAUUUAGCUGAGGUCCUCAGGUGGAGGUAUUUGUCAAAUGGUCGAAGCCCCGAAGCUGAUGCGCGAGCCUCCUAACUACAAGGAGUUUUCCUCCAUUAUCACUUCUCCCAAGAGAUCACCUGCUCAGAGAUCUUAUUCGAAUGACUGA
rnacentral:lncRNA from 1 species